rnacentral:rRNA from 1 species
AACGUAGGGGGCGAGCGUUGUCCGGAAUUACUGGGCGUAAAGAGCGUGUAGGCGGUCUGUUAAGUCAGGUGUGAAACCUCCGGGCCUAACCGGGAGCGUGCAUCUGAAACUGGCGGACUUGAGAGCAGGAGAGGAAAGUGGAAUUCCUAGUGUAGCGGUGAAAUGCGUAGAUAUUAGGAAGAACACCAGUGGCGAAGGCGGCUUUCUGGCCUGCAACUGACGCUGAGACGCGAAAGCCAGGGGAGCGGACUGGAUUAGAUACCCCGGUAGUCCUGGCCGUAAACGAUGGGCACUAGGUGUAGGAGGUAUCGACCCCUCCUGUGCCGGAGCAAACGCAAUAAGUGCCCCGCCUGGGGAGUACGGCCGCAAGGUUGAA